rnacentral:lncRNA from 10 species
AGAGGGGUUGUGGCUUUGAGGACAAUUGUUCAAGUGAGAAGAGGGCUGUGCAGAUCUCAAGAUGACAUCGGGAUCCUGAUGUGAAGUUUUCCUGCUUCUGGAGGAGGGAAGCAGAGGGCUGUUUUGCCUCCUCUGGGCCAGGGAUGCAUGGAAUGGCAGAGGUGGGGGCUCCCAGCUAUGGUGACUGGGAGGGCAGGUCGGGGUCCCUGGAAGCAGAUCCUGAGACAAAGUCCCCUGUGCAAGAGAUUUAUUUCAAAGGUGUGCCCAGCUCUUGGUGGCCCAGGGUGGGCCUUGGCCUUCAGCCUGCUGACCCAGGACCCUCACUCCUUCCAUAGUGGGGACCAGUGCCUGUCUGAGCCCCAUCAUGAUCCCACUGGGAGCAUUCCAUUGUGUAAGGAUAUCGGAGGAUGCAAGUCCCCAAGACCUCCCCGACACUGCUGGUGGAGUGC